rnacentral:misc_RNA from 1 species
UCAGCUCCUGCUCCUGACCUGA